UCUCAGAGACUGUUGCACUUGGAAGCUUCAGACCUGCUGUCCAGUCUAAAACCAGCGUUGCCACUUAAUGAACCAUGUCACUGGAUGCCGGCGUCACUUCAUUUCCCUAAUUCUUCUCUCUAAAGGAGGUUGAGAGAGAAAACAGAGGAGAUGAACCAUAACCUGGGUCUCCAAUUUAGGGGAAAGCAAGAAGGACAAACGAAUGAUAUGAGGACUGACAGCCAUUGGCUUCCAAGGCCAUUUGUAUGGGGACCGGAGGAGACUGGAUCCAGGUCCUCCUGGCGUGGAACUCAUUCUGGAGACCAGGCUGACCUUGCACCCACAGAGAGGCCUCUGCCACCAACCUACUGGAAUUAAAAAUGCACCACCAUGACUGGCAGCCCCUUUGAAAUUUGUUCUUUCAGAUUUACCUCAUCUAAUCCAUGAAAGCCAAAGUAGACAAUGGGUUUACAUAAAACAAACAAACAAACAAACAAAACAACAAAACAACAGCAAAAGAAACUCCAAAGAUAAAACUCAGCCCAUGGACUUGGAAGAAUAUGUUUGCAAAUCCUAAGAAUAAUUGCCAAAAUAUAAGAAGAAUGCAAACUAGAGCUGGCUGUAUGGGUUAGUGGGUAGAGGUAUUUGCCACUGACCUAACAGCCCAAGUUUCCAACACCUAAGACCCAGAUGGUAGAAGGGACAACACACACACACACACACACACACACACACAAAACCAACCCCCUGACUCCUUCAGAUUGUCUUUUGACCUCCACAUGUACACCAGACAAGUACAAGCCUGCACACAUACCAAAUAAGUAAAUAAGUGUAGAAAAUUAAAGAAUUCAAGCUAUUCAAUGUCAAGAAGACAGAAAUGACUAGAUAUCCAAAAUGACAUUUCUCAAAGGAAGGGAAAACCAAUGGUCAAAAGAUAUGUGAAAAAUGUUUGACAUCCAGAUCAUCAGAGAAAUUAAUUACAAUCUCAAUGACUUAUUGUCUCAUACCGACUAUACUGGCUAUUGUCAAGAAGUAUAAAUGGGGAUUGAAGAAUAAACCAGCAGUCAAGAGCACCCGCUGCCCAGUCGUGGGAUUCUAGUUUGGACACCAGCACCCACACCAGGUGGCUCACAACUUUCUGUAAGCCCAUCUCCAAGGGAUCUGAUGUCCUCUUCUGGACUCGUUGGGCAUCUGCAACACACGUGCACAUAGACUCUCAUAGACAUACA